rnacentral:rRNA from 1 species
AGUGAACGCUGGCGGUAGGCCUAACACAUGCAAGUCGAACGGCAGCACAGUAAGAGCUUGCUCUUACGGGUUGCGAGUGGCGGACGGGUGAGGAAUACAUCGGAAUCUACUUUUUCGUGGGGGAUAACGUAGGUAAACUUACGCUAAUACCGCAUACGACCUACGGGUGAAAGCAGGGGAUCUUCGGACCUUGCGCGAUUGAAUUAGCCGAUGUCGGAUUAGCUAGUUGGCGGGGUAAAGGCCCACCAAGGCGACGAUCCGUAGCUGGUCUGAGAGGAUGAUAAGCCACACUGGAACUGAGACACGGUCCAGACUCCUACGGGAGGCAGCAGUGGGGAAUAUUGGACAAUGGGCGCAAGCCUGAUCCAGCCAUACCGCGUGGGUGAAGAAGGCCUUCGGGUUGUAAAGCCCUUUUGUUGGGAAAGAAAAGCAGCAGGUUAAUACCCCGCUGUUCUGACGGUACCCAAAGAAUAAGCACCGGCUAACUUCGUG